GACGAACGCUGGCGGCGCGCUUAACACAUGCAAGUCGAACGGAAAGGCCUGCUUUCCCUUGUGGGUUGCAGGUACUCACGUGGCAAACAGGCGAGUAACACCUGAGUGAUCUGUCGCCAUAUCUGGUGUAAGCCUGGGCUACUGCGUCUAAUUACCUCUAGCACUGCGGGGUGGUGCCGGAGGUUGCAGACGAUGUUCCGGUGGUUGGGGAUGAUCUCGCUGCGUAUCAGCUUGUUGCUGGCGUAGUGGCUGACGGAGGCUGUGACGGGGAGGCGGCCUGAGAGGGUGAGCGGCCACAUUGGGACAGAGCUACGGCCGAGGCUCCUACGGGAGGCAGCAGUGGGGAGGAGUGCACAAUGGGCGGAAGCCUGAUGCGGGAACGCCGCGUGCGGGAUGACGGCCUUCGUGUUGUAAACCGCGUUCGCCUGUGACGGAGCGGGAGUGACGGUAAUGGGUAAAGAAGCACCGGCUAACUACGUG
rnacentral:rRNA from 1 species